GGGGCCAUGAAAAACAGUUUGUUCCCUGAUGAUGAUGAGCAGUCUGGGAGCUACUGUCAGGGUCUCACUCAGGCAGAAUAGCAGCCCCUAAAGAUGUCCACCUCCCAACCCCAGAACUAUUCCACAUACAAGCCAUAUCACGUGAUUACUCCACUUAGUAUAAUAAUCUCUGGAUCCGUCCAUGUUGCUGGAAAUUGAAGUGUUUCAUUCCUUUCUUGUGGAUUUGCUUCCGAUUUUGAAGAAGAACAACCUCACAGAUACACUUGAAGAUCCUCAUGAGCCUUCCUUGAUGUCACUUCCCUCGUUUCCACCCUCCUGCCCUUUCCAGGGGAGACUGCUAUCCUGAAUUUGUUGUUUAUCAUUCUACGUAAGUGUGCAUCCAUCCACCCCCGUGACUAAUGGGGAUG